CUGUGACGUUUGCUCAGAUGACAGGACCUGUUUCAAAUGCAGUUUCCUCUACCUGAUGCUGAAUGGUGUGUGUAAAGCUAGUUGUCCCAUGGGCUAUUAUGAGGACAUGGAAGAGGGCCACUGUGGUCAGUGCCACCCUACCUGUGGCAGCUGUUCAGGGCCCCUGGAAGAUGACUGCGAGACCUGCUCGAUGUUUAGCCCCAAACUCUACAAGGGUGCAUGCUCCAAAGACUGCCUCACUGGUACUUACUAUGAAACUGAAGCUAUGGAAUGUCAAGAUGGCACCUGAGUGCAUACAACACAAGGCAGGAGGCUGACGGAACACAGCUGGGAUUCUGUUCGCCAUGUGACCAUGCCUGUUCCACCUGUACCGCAACAUUGCCAAGAUAUUGCCUCACUUGUUCUCUAGGAUACCUGCGCCUCCUUCAACUCUGUGUCACGCAUUGUCCCACAGGGUAUUACAGAGAGGGCCCCUACUGUGAGAAAUGUGACCAGUCCUGUGAGCUGUGUACAGGAGCAGGGCCUGAGUCCUGCAGGAACUGUCCAUCUCCUCUCCUGGAGCUGCAAGGCACUAAGCUGUGUGUUGAGCGAUGCCCACACCGCUUCUACCAGUUCAGUGACGUCUGCAAACAGUGCCACACCAGUUGUCAGACCUGCACAGUGUGUAAUGAAUGCAUGUUUGAAGAUUCCUUGCCUCAGGCCUGUAUGACGUGCGACUGGGGCAGCACUCUAAAGGACAAAUUCUGCUAUCCACGUUGUGAGGAGGGCCGAUACUUCUCAGAAUAGGUGUGCUCUUGGCUACGAGCUGCAUUUCAACUGCAUUCCAACACGGACCAGGGACACCUGUGAGCCAUGUGACACCUCGUGUAGGCAUUGCACUGAACCCAGACCCGACCAGUGUCUAACUUGUCACCGGGAUUCUGAAGGGAAUGACACUAAUUGCUGUGUUAGUGACAGCCGCUCAGCAUUGUGUGUGGAGGCCCCCCAACCCAAGUCAGGAGACGGUCAGGUAACAGACCUGACUAGAAUGGGCAUUUCCUU